UACGGAGGGUCCAAGCGUUAUCCGGAAUCCUUGGGUUUAAAGGGUCCGUAGGCGGUUUUGUAAGUCAGCGGUGAAAGCCCAUCGCUCAACGGUGGAACGGCCAUUGAUACUGCAAGACUUGAAUUAUUAGGAAGUAACUAGAAUAUGUAGUGUAGCGGUGAAAUGCUUAGAGAUUACAUGGAAUACCAAUUGCGAAGGCAGGUUACUACCAAUAUAUUGACGCUGAUGGACGAAAGCGUGGGGAGCGAACAGG
rnacentral:rRNA from 1 species